rnacentral:rRNA from 1 species
CCCGCACAAGCGGUGGAGCAUGUGUUAAUUCGAAGCAACGCGAAGAACCUUACCAGGGCUUGACAUCCCCUGACCGCGUAUGAAAGUACGUUUUCACCCUCGGGUGACAGGGAGACAGGUGGUGCAUGGUUGUCGUCAGCUCGUGUCGUGAGAUGUUGGGUUAAGUCCCGCAACGAGCGCAACCCCUACGUUUAGUUGCUAACGCGUGAAGGCGAGCACUCUAGACGAACUGCCGUUGACAAAACGGAGGAAGGUGGGAUGACGUCAAAUCAUCAUGCCCCUUAUGUUCUGGGCUACACACGUGCUACAAUGGCCGGUACAGACGGACGCAAAGCCGCGAGGUGGAGCAAAUCCUAAAAAGCCGGUCUCAGUUCGGAUUGCAGGCUGCAAUUCGCCUGCAUGAAGUCGGAAUCGCUAGUAAUCGCAGGUCAGCAUACUGCGGUGAAUACGUUCCCGGGCCUU